CCAGUGUGCCCUGACGAGCACAUACGUGCACACACAGAGUGGGGCGAGCUAGAAAUAUUAACCUGUAGGGGAGCACAUGGUCGAUCCUAAAGCUGGCUAUUGGCUGGCAGCCCUCAGAGAGCCAUCCAGCCACACUCAGCGUGACCCCCUGCUGCUGCGAGACGGCAAGACCGCUGAUCCGCGCGCACAGUAGCUGGAUUAGGCGUCUCCUUUUUACAAUCAGCUGUCUGGGAGCGACAGUCUGAUCCCCUCACCAUCGUCGUCAUCGUCAUCUCCCCGCUCUCGUUCCUACAAACCUUCAUGGCAAACUGUGCACGCAAGAUCUAUUUCUGAAAGGGAGACAUCAAGCUUUCGAUAUGGGAGGUGAAAAAUAAGAGGGAGUGAAACGACAUGUUUAAUUUACACAGACUGCAUCAUUGGGGGGGGGGGGGGGGUAUCAGAUUACACCCCUCUCCAAAGUUCUCAGUGGAGCUGCCCAUGUGACAGUAAUAUGCAGCACACGUGAGGAUCUCUUCAGACAUGCAGAAUGGGGCAUUUGAUGGGGACGGAAUGCUCUCCAACCUCCUCUACAACAUGGAGACAAAAGACAUUCAGACUCGGAUUUAAAUGAGCUGUGACGUGGUCCAUGGGCUACAGCAUGUUUGUUCAACUUUGAGCCUCUGAGCACUGCACGCACGGAGGGGCUCAAGAGUGGCUGGCAGGUACAGACAGGCCCCAGAUUAGUCGUGCCAGGCCAUUGCACAAGAACCCCCAACCCACUCAGCCCCUCGGAUGCAAUACUCCCAGUAGUCUUCAGAUGAAGAAAGGCUCAACACUAGGAAAGUUCUGGAUGAACACAUCACUUCCUUUAAUGACCAAGCGGAGCAGCGGCUA